GAUGAACGCUAGCGGCAGGCUUACUACAUGCAAGUCGAGGGACAGCACAGGUAGCAAUACUGGGUGGUAACCGGCAAACGGGUGCGGAACACGUACACAACCUUCCUUUAAGUGGGGGAUAGCCCAGAGAAAUUUGGCUUAAUACCCCGUAAUAUAGUUGAAUGGCAUCAUUUGAUUAUUAUAGCUACGGCGCUUAAUGAUGGGUGUGCGGCUGAUUAGAUAGUUGGCGGGGUAACGGCCCACCAAGUCUACGAUCAGUACCUGAUGUGAGGGCAUGAACAGCCACACGGGGACUGGGACACGGGCCCGACGCCUGCGGAAGGGAGCAGUAGGGAAUAUUGGUCAAUGGACGCAAGUCUGAAACAGCCAUGCCGCGUAAAGGAUUAAGGUCCUCUGGAUUGUAAACUGCUUUUAUUUGGGACGAAAAAGGGCCUUUCUAGGUCAACUGACGGUACCAGAUGAAUAAGCACCGGCUAACUCCGUGCCAGCCGCCGCAGUAA
rnacentral:rRNA from 1 species